GAAGGAAGGAAGGAAGGGGAGGGAGGAAGGAAAGAAGGGAGGGAAGGGGAAAGAAAGAGAAAGAAAGAAAGAAAAAGAAAGAAAGAAAGAGAAAAAGAAAGAGAAAGAAAAAGAAAAAGAAAGAAAGAAAGAAAGAAAGAGAAAGAAAGAAAAAGAAAGAAAGGGAGAGAGAAAGAAAGAAAGGAAGGAAGGAAGGAAGAAGGAAGGAAGGAAGAAAAGAAAAAGAAAGAAAAAGAAAAGAAAGAAAGAAGAAAAAAAGAAAGAGAAAGAAAGAAAGAAAGGGAGAGAGAAAGAAAGAAGAAAGAAAGAGAAAAAGAAAGAAGAAAGAAAGAAAGAAAGAAGAAAAAAAGAAAGAGAAAGAAAGAAAGGGAGAGAGAAAGAAAGAAGAAGAAAGAGAAAAAGAAAAGAAAGAAAGAAAGAAAGAAAGAGAAAAAGAAAAAGAAAGAAAGAAAGGGAGAAAGAAAGAAAGAAAGAGAAAAGAAAGAAGAAAGAAGAAAGAAAGAAAGAAGAAAGAAAAAGAAAAAGAAAGAGAAAGAAAGAAAGGGAGAAAGAAAGAAAGAAAGAAGAAAGGAAGGAAGAAAGAAAGAAAGAGAAAGAAAAAGAAAAAGAAAGAAAAAGAGAAAGAAAGAAAGGGAGAAAGAAAGAAAGAAAGAAAGAAAGGAAAAGAGAGAGAGGAAGGAAGGAAGGAAGGAAGGAAGGAAGACAGAGAAAGGAAGGAAGGAAGGAAGAAAGAAAGAAGGAAGAAAGAAAUCCAAGCCAAGCCAAGCCAAGCAAGAAAAAACCCCACUCUGGCCUGCCCAUGGGGAAGUGACUAGAGAGACUUCUGGUCAGCAUGGCGGCCUGCAUCCAGUUGGAGCUCCCCUCCUACUCCACAACCCGGGAGCAAGUCAGAGGAGCCGUGAGGGAGGAUGGAGGGGAGGGAAAUGCCCUCCUGGAGGCCCCAGCUUUAUGCUCAUUAACCCGCCCACAGGCAUGGGGGGGAGGGUGUCUGGUGACCAAGGGGUGUUUACAGGUUGCGGUAAAAGUCAUUUUAUGGCUGGGGGUGCAGGCAGGAAAUUGGGGUUUUAUGGUUCACUAAGCAUCAAUAGCAAUUAA
rnacentral:lncRNA from 1 species